AAAACCCUCACCCAGCUCUUUGCUUUCCGGCUUAGAGUGCAGGUGGAUUUGGAUUUUUGCGUUAGCAAUCAUCUUAAAACUAUUGUGUGUGCACCAAUUGAUGCGUCUUUUGGUUGUCCAAGUGCAACAGAUUUAUCUAUUUCGCUUUGGCGGUUGAUUGAUGUUUUUGAUGCAGACAUUCAACUAAGAAUACGGAAUUCAAAUUGCAUGAUUUGAAUUUUCGAAA
rnacentral:misc_RNA from 1 species